UGACCACAACACAUUGAAACACUGGUUUCCAUACAAUCACCAAAGUUAAGCAAAGUCAAACCUGGUCAGUACCUAAAUGGGUGACCGCUUGGGAUUUGUGGGUGGUGUA